GGCGACCGGCGCACGGGUGCGUAACGCGUAUGCAACCUACCCAUAACAGGGGGAGUAACACUGAGAAAUUGGUACUAAUACCCCAUAACAUCAGGACCGGCAUCGGUUCUGGUUGAAAACUCCGGUGGUUAUGGAUGGGCAUGCGUUGUAUUAGCUGGUUGGUGAGGUAACGGCUCACCAAGGCAACGAUACAUAGGGGGACUGAGAGGUUAACCCCCCACAUUGGUACUGAGACACGGACCAA
rnacentral:rRNA from 1 species